UUGAUUUCAUCCCAAUUUUGCGUUUUACCCAUACCCUGCCAUUCCCUGACCCCCUAUUACCCAAUUUCCCAUUAUUUACCUUCCUUGAGACUUAUUUACCCAUGUGACUCCUUCCCCAUAUCCCAGUUUUACAUUUUCCCAAUUUGAUUUCAUCCCAAUUUUGCUUUUUAUCCAUAUCCUGCCACUCACUGACCCCCUAUUACCCAUUUCCCCAUUAUUUACCUUCCUCAAGACUUAUUUACCCAUGUGACGUCUUCCCCAUAUCCCAGUUUUACAUUUUCCCAAUUUGAUUUCAUCCCAAUUUUGCUUUUUAUCCAUAUCCUGCCACUCACUAACCCCAUUUUACCCAUUUCCCCAUUAUUCAUCCUCCCCGUUAUCCAUGUGACGUCUUCCCCAUAUCCCAAUUUUACAUUUCAAUUACAUCCCAAUUUUUGGUAUACCAGUUUUUCCCCAUUCCUGACCCCAUUUUACCCAUUUCCCAAUUACCUUCCCCGUUACCCAGUUACCCAUGGUUCGUCUUCCCCAUAUCCCAUUUUCCAAUUAUUUUUUCAUUCACAAUCGUUAAUUCUCCCAUUUCGUUUCCUAUUCCUUACUUUUGCCUAUUUCCCUCUUCGUAACCAACCCUUCCCCCAUUUACACAAUUAUUUCCCUUCCCGUCCAUUAUUUCCCAGAUUUCCCCAAUUCCCAUUUUCGUGUAUAGUUAUUUUUCCAUUUUGCAAUUUCCCUAUUUCCUAUUUCCCUUCCCUUCACCUAUGUACCCAUGUGUUAUCUUUCCUUUCCGUCUCCCCUAUUUCAACCCCAUUUCCGUUCGUCCAUUCCUUCCCUUCCCGCCCUGUUACUAAUUUCCCCAUUCAAACUAUUAAUUCCACCUCUGCAUUAAUAUCUAGUCCCCCAAUUAGCCCAUUAGCAUAACCGUUGUCACGUGAAAUAUGCCGCGAUUUAUAUAUCAAUUUAUCCAAGUUACCCCUUGAAUCGGGUUCCUAUUAGCCCCAUUUCACGUAAUGUAUCCCUUCUAAACCAAUUAAUUCCCUUCCUAACGAACUAUUUCCCUAUUCCAAGCAAGAUAUUCGGUAGUUUUCCUCCCCAAUUUGAGAUUUUCCCCAUUUCGUUUUACCCCACGCGGUCCCAUUACCCCAUUCAAAUACCUAUUAACUAUUCUCCCCCAUUAAUUCACCUAUUAUCCCCUAUUUAAUGGGUUAUAAGAGGUUUAAUCAAUUCGUUUUAUGCACAAAGGAAUGUUUUAAUGAUUUUCUUUGUGUUCGUGCGUGUGUGCGCGUUUCCGUUAGGCCUACCUCCAUGGUUAGGCCUAUUAGUGCUUUUUUUCAGUGUUAUUUUUGUUUUAUUUUGCCCGUGUGCGUUUUUGUGGAGUCGUGUACGUGUUUGUGUGCGUUUUUUUUUUAUAGUGAGCCACGUGGCUGUGAGGGCGGUUUGUGUACACGUGGCAAGCUUGUGUGUGUGCGUAUGUGCGUGUUGGCAUAUGGCGUGUGCGUUUCCGCGUAGAUACACACACACACACACACACACACACGGGAUUCUGGACGUAUGUGUGUGUAUAAAUUGUGUACGUAUUCUACUUAGAUACGCACAUGGAAGAGUGAUUACGCACAUGCGGCCUCACACACACACACACACACACACACACGCACACACACACCGGUAGCUCAGUGGUUAAAGCUCUGCGCUACCAAACGUCGCGGACUGGAAGACGGAGGUUCCAGUCCCACUCAUACCGGGGAUUUUCCACUACGAUAACUUCUAUUGACUUCUAACGCUUUGUAUAACGACACACACACACACACACACACACACACACACACACACACAGCAGCGGGGUGGAGAUGGAUGAAGCCGCCAGUGAUAGAGAUCAAUAGAGUGGAUGCAUAUUUGAGUGGACAUGGCUUGGGGUCAAUGUGCCGGGUCCUGAGGGCGAGGGAGUGCUGGAACAGGGAGACUGGCUGACCUUUGUGGCCUGGUGAUGCUCUUCAGAAAGGGAUGGGAUGGGAGAUAAACGGUAUUGGAAUAUAUUAAGGGUAAGGAAGUUAUUGUCAGACUGAAGUGUAUCGUUUUAACAAGGAUAGAGAAAGAACAGGAUAAUAACAUAAUAGCAUAGGGAGUCUGCAAGAGGCGUAAUGGGAUGGGAGAUAAGACAGUAUAGGAAUGUCUGAAGGGUAAUGGAGCUAUACACUAAUGUAUCGUUUUAACAAGGAUAACAGAGAAAGAACAGCAUAGGGAGACUGCAAGAGGCCUUAUGUGAUGGGAGAUAAGACAGUAUUGGAAUCUAUGAAGGUUAAGGAAGAUAUAAACUGACUAAUGUAUCGUUUUAACAAGGACAUGAGAGAAAGAAUGUGAACAGGAUAGGAUGGGAGAGAGUAGUGUUUCAGCUUAACAAGGAGAAGGAUGUGAAAGGGAUAGGACAAGGGAGGAUUGAUAGAUUAGGAUUGGAAUAUAUCAGGGAACGGAGAGGAAGGAACGGAUGGGAUAGAAUGACACUUGGUAUUUCAGCUUAACAAGGAGAAGGAUGUGAAAGGGAUAGGACAAGGGAGGAUUGAUAGAUUAGGAUUGUAAUAUCAGGGAACGGAGAGGAAGGAACGGAUGGGAUAGAAUGACACUUGGUAUUUCAGCUUAACAAGGAAAAGGAAGGAUGUGAAAAGGAUUGGACAAGGGAGGAUUGAUAGAUUAGGAGGAUUGGAAUAUAUCAGGGGAGGGAGAGGAAGGAAAGGAAUAGAUAUGGAUGAGAUACGAUGACAGACGGUUGGUAUUUCAGCCUGACAAGGAAAGGAAAUGGAAAGUAGAUUAGAUACAUGGGAAUAGAGGGAGAUAGAUGAUAGACAGGAAGCUGGACCAAUACUACUCCCCCCCCCCCCAUUUCCUUUCAUAGCCCACACCUGCGACUUCUCUUAAUAUAUUCACAGGUGUUCAGAGCAUACUACACCAUUUACUACUACUACUACAAGCUUUCUUUGUGUGUGUUUACUUAUGUAGCUAAAUUUAGAGGAUGGGAAGGGAGGAGGAGGAGGAGGAGAAGAGAAGGGAAUGGAAGGAAGGAAGGAAGGAGGGGAGGAAGACUAUGGCAAAUUAAAGGGAGAAAGAAAAUGAAAAGUUAAAGAAAAGAUGGAGAUAAUUAGAGAAAGGAAGAAAGAAUAAGAGGAAGGGAAGGAAGACAAAGAAAAGUAAAGAAGAAAUUAGUUAAAAAAAUAGAAAAAACAAAUAUUAAGAAGAGAUGGAAAGCUUGAUAAAUAAGAGAUGAAAAUAGUUUAUAAUGAAGCUUCCAUCGGUUCACAUACAUUAGCCAAACCAUGUAAUAAUUAACCAAAGAAUCAACCACAUUUCUAUCAGUUUUACAAUAGCCCUCCCUGAAAUAGUGCACCAUAAUAAUCAACCACAUUUCUUCCAUCGGUUGAUUUGCAUUAGUCCGCCCUGAAAUAGGUCCUUGUAACAAUUAACCUCAAAAUCAACCACAUUCCAUUGGUUGAUUUACAUUAGUCCGCCCUGAAAUAGCUCCUCGUAAUAACAAAAUCAACCACAUUCUUCCAUUGGUUGACUUCCAUUAGUCCUCCCUGAAAUAGUCAACCACAUUUCUUCCUUUGGUUGACUUGCAUUAGUCCACCUGAAAUAGCUCCCCGAAAUAGUUAACCACAAAAUCAACCACAUUCCAUUGGUUAACUUACAUUAGUCCACCUGAAAUAGCUCCCCGAAAUAGUUAACCACAAAAUCAACCACAUUCCAUUGGUUAACUUACAUUAGUCCACCCUGAAAUAGCUCCCCGAAAUAGUUAACCACAAAAUCAACCACAUUCCAUUGGUUAACUUACAUUAGUCCACCCUGAAAUAGCUCCC